GGAUUUCUGUGAUGUAGCUACUAUAUCUGUCAACCUAUGGUUAGAGUUUUCAUGGCUGAUCUGGGUGGCUAGCCUGUUGUUCCUUUCCUCAACCACUAUCCCAUAUGUAUUCCUCCUCAGCCUGUGCAUUUUAUAAAAGAGGACAAUCUUCCUCAAGAAAUGAAGAUUGUUCCUUAGUCAGGGUAUGCAAGUAGCUGAUUUUUCUCAUGAGAACCCCAAAGAAUCAGCUUAUUGUUUCUUUGUGUUAAAAAUUCUAGAUCCUCAUCAUAUAUUUUGUGGUUAUGUGGUUUUCUGG
rnacentral:snRNA from 1 species